UUAAUUUAGAUACGACAAAGGCACAGUUGAUUAUAUGACUUUAACUCACAGUUCUGUCGUGCUCUGCAGUCUGCUCCUACGUCUCGGGUGGAGCUGGCUGGAUGGACGGGUUAUCUAUUCAUGAAAAUACUCAAUUAAUAAGAUAUUUUUAAUUUUUCCUAGCCCUAGACUCCUAGAUCAGACUGCCUAAGAAAAUUCAGACUCGAAAAUUCUACCGAAAAUUCGACAGAACCUCCUCUAAAAUAUGGAUGUUUACCCACUGUAUAACGGGUCCAGAACCUGCUAGAAAUACUUCAAAUAUUAUGCAAUUAAUUAACGGGAGUCAAGCGACUAAAACUACAUUAUUUUUUCCGACUCCACAACACACCACGAUUCACAAAACAACGCAAUAAUUAAUCAUACCCAUUACUUGUAGCAUUUAUAUUUAAGUCACAAAUAAUUAAAUCUAAUUAAAUUAAAUUAUCCAAAAUUGAUAAUUAAUAGCAAUAAUAUUUUUUAAGAUUAUAAAAUAAUUUUUAAGUCUCAAUAAAAUUAUACCGAACCGAAAAUCCAAAAAUAUAUGCGUCCGAAAAACACCAGGGUUCAAAAGCUGAUAUUGCCAACAGUGUCAGAAUUUGAAUCUGGAAGUGCCCACGCGAAGCUUGAGUUGCAGAGAGUUCGAAAACACAAAAGCUUUGCUGAAAACUCGCCGGAAGACACUAGAUCGUGGCCGGAAAGGCGCUGUUCCGGUGAGGCUCCACCGAGGCUGUUGGCGACAGAAAACGAUGGGGAAAGCUUGGCUUGGGGGUUUUCAAUAAUGAGGAGCUUGAUUCCGGAGUCGAACAAGCGAUUGGUGGAGGAUAGGAGCUAGUUCGGCGUUGGGGUACACUUUUCUCCUCCGGUCGACGUCUGCAGCGGGGGAAAGGAGAAGAGAAAGCAGCAUGGUGGCGGGGAGGGGAAAGAAGGACGUUGGUGGCGGCAACAACUUGUUCAGUUUAGGAAAGGGAAAAAGAAGGGCUGUCGGUGACGGGGGAGAAAAGGGAGGAAGAAGGAUGGAAAGAUAAAGAAGGGGGAAAGGAAAAGGGAAGAAAAAU
rnacentral:lncRNA from 1 species